rnacentral:rRNA from 1 species
AUUGAACGCUGGCGGCAUGCUUUACACAUGCCAGUCGAACGGCAGCGCGGGCUUCGGCCUGGCGGCGAGUGGCGAACGGGUGAGUAAUGCAUCGGAACGUGCCCAGUAGUGGGGGAUAGCCCGGCGAAAGCCGGAUUAAUACCGCAUACGACCUGAGGGUGAAAGCGGGGGACCGAAAGGCCUCGCGCUAUUGGAGCGGCCGAUGUCGGAUUAGCUAGUUGGUGGGGUAAAGGCUUACCAAGGCGACGAUCCGUAGCUGGUCUGAGAGGACGACCAGCCACACGGGGACUGGGACACGGCCCAGACUCCUACGGGAGGCAGCAGUGGGGAAUUUUGGACAAUGGGGGCAACCCUGAUCCAGCCAUCCCGCGUGCGGGAAGAAGGCCUUCGGGUUGUAAACCGCUUUUGUUCGGGAAGAAAUCCUCUGGGCUAAUACCCCGGGGGGAUGACGGUACCGGAAGAAUAAGCACCGGCUAACUACGUG